rnacentral:rRNA from 1 species
GUGGGGAAUCUUCCGCAAUGGACGAAAGUCUGACGGAGCAACGCCGCGUGAGUGAAGAAGGUUUUCGGAUCGUAAAGCUCUUUCGUUAGGGACGAACGUGCUCUUUGUGAAUAAUGAGGAGUAAUGACGGUACCUAAAUAAGAAGCCACGGCUAACUACGUGCCAGCAGCCGCGGUAAUACGUAGGUGGCAAGCGUUGUCCGGAAUUAUUGGGCGUAAAGCGCGCGCAGGCGGGAUAUCAAGUCUGUCUUAAAAGUGCGAGGCUCAACCUCGUGAGGGGACAGAAACUGGUAUUCUUGAGUGUCGGAGAGGAAAGUGGAAUUCCAAGUGUAGCGGUGAAAUGCGUAGAGAUUUGGAAGAACACAAGUGGCGAAGGCGACUUUCUGGACGAUGUCUGACGCUGAGGCGCGAAAGCUAGGGGAGCGAACGGGAUUAGAAACCCGGGUAGUCC